UCCCGAGUGGCCAAAGGGAGCAGACUGUAAAUCUGCCGGCACUGCCUUCGAUGGUUCGAAUCCGUCC
rnacentral:tRNA from 3 species